CCGAAACCUUCGAGUCCUUCGCCAUUAAAAACAAGAAGUUUUGUACAGUGAUGCUGAAUAUGUUGUGCACCUCAGUAAAUGACUUUAUCAAAUUCACGAUGACUGAAGUUGAUAGAAAGAUGAUUGCUGAGUACAGGGAUGUAUUUGCUGACCUGAAGAUAUUAGGAUUCGAUGUUAGUUGGCUCGCGGGUCGUCUGAAUUAUAUAGAACAUCUCCAAUUUUCACAUCCCUUACUCACUGAGCUUUAUGCACUUGACGGUCAUCUUAAUGGUGCUAGAAGUAAAUUACAAUAUUUGCAGACUCAUAGUGGUGAUACCGAAAUUAGAUUGCAAGACCUACAAACUCUUCGUGAUGAGAAAAUGCAGGAGAUUGAGAAAGCUUUUGGAACUUUGGGUACAAAACUUGUUGCUGGCUGUAUCGGAGAUGAGUUAUUAUCUACUCCCUAAUCUUCUUGGAAUUAUUUUUCUUUAAGAGUUCUGGAUGCCUUCUUCUCUUGUUUACUCUCUCUGGUCCUUGAGUCUUUAGUACGCAUUAGGUGUCACGGAUAUUGUCUUUGUGUUGAUCUGUCAGCUGUGUUUGGUUUGCUACUGUUUGUCAAGGUGUAGGGUAAGCUUGAAUCAUGUAAGAUGUUGCAUUCCAUAAAAGAAUUUUCUAGCAUAUUAUAUUAUGAGCUGUGCUAUAUAUGCUGUUAUUUUUUAAAUACUUCCUCUGACAUUUCUGCAGUUCUCAUUCUCGCAUGUUUGUGUUCCCCAUCCUAUUAAUUGAUGCAAAGAUACUGACAUGGACAUCGGGAAUCCUGCAUAUUUCUCCAAGCACCACCAUCGUGACAGGUGGUUGUCAGAACAAUUGUAUUACAAAAUUUGUUUGGUCAAUUGGAUUCAAACAAAUUAGGCAAAGUUUGGGAUAUAUAGUGGGUGUUUUGGCCGAACUUUCAAGCCGGAGUUAUAAGUUAGAACCACUUAUUUGUACUGUUUGUGUAAAAAGUCAAGAAAACCUUAUAAAAAGUUAAGAAUAGUAGUUUUUGUUUCAUGGCUUCUACUUCAUUUCCCAACACUUUAACCAUUUAUAAGUCUUAACUUGCUUCUAACUUCCACUUCAUUUUUUUUACUUUAAAUAAAAAUCACUUAUUUUAAACGCAUCCAAACGACCUCAUAAUUUCUUUUACAUAUGAAAGUGAAUGACGGGACUAGCGAAUUAUAGAGGAAAAAGGUCACAUAUGUCAUUUCAUAAGGAAUGUCCAAAAUAAUAGGGUUAUAGAAAAAAUGAUCUCAAAUACCAUUUAGUAACGCUAAAUAAUAUGGCGUUUUGAUUUUUAGGAGAGGAUGCUAGAUUGUGUUACAUUUAAGCCUGAAAAUUCUCUAAAAAAAACGUUACACGAUAUGACGUUUUAAGAAUAAAACGCUACAUAAACGCUAGACAGUUUAGCGUUUAGGGUUUCAAGACGUUAGAUUGUCUAGUGUUAAAGAAGGAAAAAAAGGGAUAAACGCUAGACGGUCUAGCAUUUUGGAUUGUAAAAUGGUAGCUCGCGAUCAUCUUCUUUGGAUUGUAAAAUGCGUUUUGAUGAUCCGAAACCCUACGAUUUAUAGGGGUAUUUAUGGGUGCAGAGAGACUUGUGUCCUACUCAUUUCCAUAAUUAAAUAAUCUGAAACAAAAUCAAAUUAAAAAACUUGCAAGCCACUAUAUUCCAUAAAUAAUCUGAAACAGAAUCAGAUUAAUACUUGCAAGCUUUUAUAUUCCAUAAAUAAUCUGAAUCAGAAUUAGAUUAAUUUAUACCAAGAUAUUACCAUAUAUAUUAAUCCGAAACCAAAAAAAAAAGUAGUUUUUAUUUUUGAUAUCUUUCAUCCGAAAAUUCCAAAAAAUUAGAAAAAUAGAAUAGAGAUAUCUAAGAGGCGCCACCUACACGCUCUUCGCUUCUCGUUUAUAUAAGUAUAUUGAUGAUUAGUUGUAUGUCUUGAACCUGACGUGAACGGGAUACUUUGUAUAUUGAGAAAUUUGUAAUUUUGGAAUUAAGAUAAUAAAAAAGUGACUUGAGAAAAUUCUAUUUCUUUCACAAAAAAUCUAAUAUAAAAAGGGUUAUGCAUGCAGAAAUAAAUAAUUAUAUGGCAGAGAAACAAAGCUUCGUUCACGGACACUGGGCAUGAGUACGAUGGAAGAGAAAUAUGUCGUAUGAUUUAAUUAAAAAGAGGUUUUCUUUUGUUAAAUUUAGAGCGGAUUUCACUAAUAUUUUGAAAGAUACUUAAUCGAGAUGAAUCCCAGUUGAUCAUGCAAUCAUGCUGAAAAACAAAUAAAUGAGCAAAAUAAUUAAUCGUUUUGUUUUCGGAUUACUUAACUAACUGAAUACAAAUAUUUUGAAAAAUAAAACUGAAUAUGAUGAUUUCACAAGCAAUCCAGUCUGCAUCUCUCCAGAAAAGAGUAGCUUCACAAUUGACACUCACAAUUAUUUCAUGGAUGUUAAGAGGAUUCAGUUGCAAAAACUGAGUUUGGAGGUCUCAUGUUAUGAAUAGAAUUUUUUUGUGAGAGAUGAGCACAUGCAAUUUUCAAUACAGUUCCAUAAGAACCCCAAUUAUCAACCUACCGGACACUAGCUAUAGACAUGUCGAAAGUGUUGUUGAUGCGAGAUUUUCAAAUUUCUCAAUACAUCGUAAGAUUCAUUUUCAACACAAACAUCACAUUACAUAAAGCGAGACACAUCUGACAAAAGUGAGACACGUAAACACACAAAUAAUAACUUAAACAAAAUGAAACUGAAAAAACCCAAAUGGAUUUUUCGAGUUUUAUUAAAUAAAACUCGAUUUUGUUGAAGAAUAAACAAAUAAAAGAGGAUGUUUAUUGAUAGAAAAUUGAAAACAAGACAAGAAACGGUUAUGAAUUGAGUUUGGCAAAGAUGGGAGAAAGGGGACAAAGAUGGAGGUUGGAGAUGGGUAGAAUAUAUGGACAAGUAUAAACCUGACAAUUGUUUAUACGACACGAUAACGAGACUAAACAUAAAUGUUAUUGUUUGUAUUUUGAGUACACGACAUGUAAAAUAUACGAAUACGAAAUACACAACUAAGAUUUAGUGUCGAUUUUGUAUUUAUCUUUGGUACACGACACGAGUUAUGCGAAAUAAAUAUAAUUCAAAUUAGAUAUAUAAAAUUUACUCUCUCCAUCCCAGCCAAUUCUUUCCGUUUGGUUUGGCUAAGGAGGUUAAAAAUUACGUAUAAAGUAGUGGAAAAGAGAAAGAAAAGCGGGUGAAGUGAUGGACCUAUUGAUUUUUAAUGCAUAAAAGAGGAGAUAAUGGAGUAAAAACAGUGUUACAGAAAUCGGGAAUCGGACCUCAUCGGUUGAGCUACCGAUUCAAGGAUUAAUCGGAAAUCGGGGAUUAAUCGGAAGGAUUAAUCGGAGUAAAAAUCGGGUUUAUUUUAAUAUUAAAAUAUUGUUUAAUAUUUAGUUAUUAUUAUAUUAACUAUUUAGUAACUAAUAUAUUUACUAUAUUCAUGAACUCCAUAAUUAUUCAUAUUUAAAGUAAUAUAGUCUUUUAAUUUUAAUAAUUUAUCACAUAUGAUUCGAUUAAGAAAUAGAUAUAAGGAUUAAUCGGAUUUCAAAAAUCGGAUCGGUGGCCGACCUUGCAGGAGAUUAAUCGGGGAUUAAUCGGUUAAAUCAGGGAUUUUUAGAACACUAAGUAAGAGUAGUGUGAAAAGAAAGGAAAGUGGAAUAGUGGUGAGACUCAUUAAUUAUUUUUUGUAAGUUUUGAAAUAUAGUAAUAAAUAAUUGGAUGGAACAUUCAAAAAGGAAACCGCAGAGAAAUGGGAUCGCGGAGUACUUUAUUUGAAAUAUACAACAAAUGUAUUAGAAACAGAAGGGUCAUGUUCCCUGACAACUGAUUGUCAGGGAACUUUUAAUCAACACACUGCUCCCCAGCCGUUGGAUCAUCGAUCCAACUGCUGGGACAAAAGAAUUUUUUUUUAACUAUCCGCGCUCUUUUUCCGUGGAUACUAGGGCUUCCGCGCUUUGUUACGCAGAUAUCCACUGUUAUUUUACGCGGACCAACCAUUACAUACCCACCUGCAUCUAUUUUCAUCCAUCACUUCCAGUACUCCACGACCUACCUUCACGGCUUCACCCUCUGUUCUUGCCAACCCAUCAUCGAUGUAGCUUAUGUUCGCGCAGGCCACAACUCGACCUUCUUUUUUUAACAGUCGAGCCGCUGAGUUUCAUCAAAACACGGCCGCCACUUAACACAGCUUUUCUCCUCCUAGCAACACCAAAACUCGCUCCCCCCGUGUCGGCGACAUUUGACUCCCCGCCUAGAAUCGCUGCGCUUCAACACUCUCAGGAGGGCGCCGAUCAGAACUAACCACCAGCACCUCCUUCGCGUGUGAGGAGUAAAACCCUAAUUUCUCUGAGAGCUGCAGCGAAACGGGAGUUUCGGAGUUUUAAAACUGUUCUGGUAUGUCUGCCUAAAAUAAUACUCCCUCCGUCCCUCCCAUUUCUUAUCGUUUGGAUUGGGCAAGGAGGUUAAGAAAUAUGUAUAAAGUAGUGGAAAAGAGAAAGAAAAGUGGGUGAAGUGGUGGGACCCAUUGAUUUUUAAUGUAUUAAAAGAAGAUAGUGGAGUAAAAGUAGUGUGAAAAGGAAAGAAAAAUGAAGAAGUGGUGGGACCCAUUGACUAUUUUGGGUAAGUUUUGAAAUGUAAAGAAUUGGAUGGGACACCCCAAAAAGGAAAGUGUAAAGAAAUGGAAGGGACGGAGGGAGUAGCAGAUAUCCGCGUAACAAAGCGCGGAAGCCCUAGUAUCCGCGGAAAAAAAAAGCGCGGAUAGUUAAAAAAAAAAUCUUUUGUCCCAGCUGAUGGAUCGUUGAUCCAACGGCUGGGGAGCAGUGUGUUGGUUAAACGUUCUCUAACAAACCGUUGUCAGGGAACAAGACCCAAAACAGAAAUAUGAUAGUAGGGCUGAUUAUUUGGUAAAAACCGAACCGAAUUACCGAAUACCGAAAUACCGAAUAAGCUCAAAAACCAUAACUGAAUAGUGAACCGAAUUUAAUUCGGUUAUUUUACCAAACCAAAUUUUUUAUUUCGGUUAAAACCGAAUACCGAAAAAAAACCAAAAUUUUAUAAUAUUGAACAAAAAUUCCAAAAAUAAUGGGAAAAACACCAAGAGGCAGACAUAAUAACAUAAAGAAGUUGAUUCGUUCAUCCGUGCAGAAAGCCACUCAGCAAAAGCAAGCCAGUGACAGCAAGUCAGCAACCCAUUUGCAAGAAAUUGAUCAACAUCUCAGUCGCCAAAACACCAACCCAAAAGUCGAAGGUGAGUCCAAUUAAAUAACGAGUUCAACGAAACUAAUUUCCCCCAAAAUCGAAGUUGAAGUUCCGUGACAGCAUACCUUAAUCAUCAAUCGAUGAUGGUGAAGAUGAUGGGUGAAGAUUGAACUCUGAAGGGAACCAGCCACCGGGGUGAAGGUCGCCGUUGAAAGAAAAUGUGAAGGUGAAGUUGCUGAGCGUGAGGCGUGAGGCGGCUUAAUUGAACUGCGUGUUUGGGUGUUUGAAGUUUUAAAUGAACCAUUGGAACUAGGUUAGUACUCAGUAGUGUUACAUAAUAUAUAAGAUAUGUAUUGAAAUAUAAAUUUAUAUGCAUAUAAUAUAUUAUUUAAUUUUUUAUUUUAUAUAUUUCGGGUAUUCGGUUUUUUCGGUACGGUAAAAAAACCGAAAUACCUAAAUAGCCAAAAAAUCAUAACCGAAUUAGGUACCGAAAUAUUUCGAUUCGGUUAACCGAACCGAAAUAUUUCAGUAAUUUCGGUUCGGUAUUCGAUUAACCGAACUGAAUGCUUAGAGCAAGUCCAAUAAGUGUGCUAAAUCAAGUCUUAAAUCCAAAAAUAAAGAAUAUGGGAUAAAAUUGCACUCCAACACUAUGCUAGUGAUGUGCUAAAUCACUAGCACAAGCCUCUCCUUCCCUAUUUUUAGAAUAUGCUAGCCACUUCUAAACUAUUUUUAUCAUUAAAAAAGGGAAAAUAAAUUCAACCGUCCUUGAACUUUACCGGUUUUAUGAUCUACGUCCUUGAACUAUAAAAAAAAUAAAUACGAUCCUUGAACUUUUUAAUAUUUCUGAUUCGGGUCCUUCUGUCUAAAUAAAGUUAACAGACGUUAACUUUUGCUUAGGUGGCAGCUGAUAAAAUUAAAAGAAAAAUGCUGGAUGCUAUAUGGAUAUUAUGUGGCACUUUAAUAAAAAAUUGUAUUGGAUGUUAUUGCACUUUAAUAAAAUUUUAUUUUCAUUAAUUGAUUUUUUUACUCUAAUAUCUUUCUAUAACACAAUGUAAAAUUGAAACAAAAACAAAGAUAAGAUUGAAAUAGAGUACUUGAACAUUAAGUGAUAGUGUACUGAUAUUACAUUGGAAUAAAUAGCUUAAAAAUAAAACAAAUACUAAGUAGCAAAAAUAUUCCAAAAUACUCAUAAUUUUAAUACCAGACAUCUUAAAUUCUUGUAAAAGUAGUCCACAUUUUGUACUCUAAACCUCCAAAGUUCACAUUCACCGUUUUUUUCCUCCAGUAGGUUGGCUUGAGCUAUGAACUCUUUUUGUAGUUGCAGGAGCUGAAGUCGAUCCUACUGGUUGUGAACUAGUUACUCUGAUUGUUUCGGUUGUUGUUGAGAAGUAAGUAUGACCAUCCUUGUUACAUUUGUAAACCCCUACACCUGGUGGAGGUAGUGGAAGUGGCUGAGGCAGCACAUGAACAUUGGCUGCCUUAGGUGGUCUUCCCCGUUUUCUUUUUGGUUGUUCAACUUGGUCUGCAACGUCAGGCUUCUUUUUUUGACUUGUUACCUUCUUCCUCUACAUAUAUUAAGAACAACAUAUGUUAGUACAUUAACUAAGAACAUCAAAUAUUUAAAGGCAUACUAAAACCUAACCUUUGCUGCAGCUUGGGCCCUUGCAGCCUCACUAUGAGCCUUUUUUGCCUCAGCAGCUUCUCUUUGUCUUUCAUUGAUUUCUUCAUCACUUGCUUUACAAGUUGUUUUAUUGUGACCAUAGAGUAGACACUUACUGCAUCUCAUUGCCACCCCUUUUUUUCCUAACUUCAUCCCGGCCCCAACUUCACCCUGUUCCUUUCUCCUAUUUUUCUUAGGUCUCCCGGGCAUUCUUCUUGCCUUUGGGGGAAGAAUGUCAGGAAGACCGGUAUGUGGCCAGAACAUAGCACCUUUCAUUGGCCUGAGUAUAUUUUCAUAAGCUUUCAUGUAUACAGCUUUACUGAAACAAUCAUCAACUUUUUCCUCGGGAUUUCGAUUCAUACUAAAUAGUGCAACACAUCCAUGAAUACAUGGAAUGCCACUUAACUGCCAUCUUCUACAACUACAUACCUUAUUCACCAUAUCUACCACCCACUGUCCCCCAUUAGUGUCUCGGACUUCACACUCAUCCCCACCAGUCCAUGUUGAUUUACAGAAUUGAGUACCCUCAAUACAUUUAUUCAAUUUUUUAAUGAUUCUUGGACAUAUUUUACACUCAACUGCAGACAUUGCAUCUCUUUUUUUAUGAAUUCUUUCCAUAAUUUGCAACCUUAUGUCAUCUAACAAUUGAAUAAUAGGCUUGUAUCUUGCCUCUACUAUCCAACUGUUAAAGCACUCAGAUAAAUUAUUGUCAACCAUUUCGCAAGCAGUUAAGAUAUCAAAAAAUGCUCUGGACCAAUAUCUUGGUUCUGUCUUAACCAAAUCAGUGUAGGCAAGUGGGGAUAUACCUUUAAUCUCCUCCAUGAUUAGAUUAAACUCCUCAACUGUUGAAGUCUUUGCAGCCCUCCAAAACAUAUUUUUAAGAACAACUCCUGGAUGAUUCUUUCUCCAAUUAGCAUAUAUAUGCCUGGCACAACACCUGGCACUUAGCUUGAACCCUCUGCAAGUCAUUUUUACUAAACCAAAUGUCUCUCUUCUGUUCCACAGCAUAGUCAAUGAUAGCAUUUUUUAAAACAAAUGCACUAGUAAACACAAGUCCAAUCUCAAAUUCAAUGUGUUUCAUAAGGGUGUUUGGAUUAAAUGUUGUAAAUCCCUUUGAUUUCGACUUAUUUUUCUCCACUCUUCUACUAGACUCAACCUCCAAAUCACUAGAAUCUGUUGACUCUGGUUCAUUCAAUUUAAAAGAGUCACUCUCAUACUCACUCUCCCAUCCAGUUUCAUCAUUUAAUUGACUAGCCUCAACCUUUUUUUUUAGUUUCUCCUCGUAUGCAACUUCCAUUGGAUUCUUUUUAGCUUGAUACACUUCUUUCUUCUUUUUAAUUAUAUCGACAAACUCCUCAUCAUGAUCAGUGUCAUAUUCAUCCUCAAUAUCAAUACUUUCAUUUUCACUCUCCUCACUUUCACAUUCAUCAUAUUCACUGUCAUCAGCAUCACUGUGAUUAUCAGCCUCAAUCUUAUCACUCUCUUCGCAAGCAUGGUCCACAUAAAUAUUUAUUCUACCAUUAAUUAAUGCAUCUGCACACAUCUCAUGUAUUAUUUCAUCAUUCCAUAACAACCUACAUCCAUUACUAUCAAAUGAUGAUCCAUCCUUAAGCCAAUAAAUUUUAAAAUUCUUAUAACCAAGAUCAGCACUGAUGAAUUUUUCACAUAUAGCAACUGAUAUAUUAUCUACGGCUUGAUCAUAGAUGUAUUCAGUUUUACCUCCUUUGUAGUAUCUUAUCCCAUUCUUUGUCGUGAACUGCCCACCAUGAUGAAUCUCCACUUUAACACCGGAUUCCAUCUGAAAUAAGCAAUUUCGAGUUAUAAAAUGAAGAUAAAUGAAAGAGAUGAAGUAAGAAGAUUAAACGAAUAUCAUAUAUACAUGUUUAAGCUCUCAAAUACCUGCGAUUUUGAUCUUCUCUCAAUAGCCCCAAUUUCACUUAAACCCUAACUAUAGACCCAGUUAGCCGAUGCUUGUUUUUUGUCUGUGAAACAUAUAUGUAUAUUAUGUUUUUAUAUGUAUAUUACAUAUUUAAAUUAAAUUAGUUAAAUGAACUUAUGAGUCAGCAUCCACGUGUUUAAUUCUAAUAAUAUUUUAUAUAUUAUUUAUUUAAAUUUCCUGCCACCUAAGCAAAAGUUAACGUCCGUUAACUUUUUUUGGACAGAAGGACCCGAAUCAAAAAUAUUAAAAAGUUCCAGGAUCGUAUUUAUUUUUUUUAUAGUUCAAGGACGUAGAUCAUAAAACAAGUAAAGUUCAAGGACGGUUGAAUUUAUUUUCCCCAUUAAAAUAUUCAUUUCCCUCUCUACUCCACAUCAUUUCCCUCUCUUUUUUUUUCAUCUUUCCCUCUUUUUAAUAUUAAUAUAAUAAUAGGGAAUGGAUAUAGGGAGUACUAUUGGAGCUCAUGUGCUAAAUCAUGUGCUAAAUCACUAAGACAUACUCCCUCCGUCCCAUUUAAUUGUAUACGUUUCUUUUCAACUGCUCGACAUGCAUUUCAAUGCUCUUAUAAAACAUAGUUCCGUAACUUAUUUUUGAGAUUUUCUUUUUCUGAAUAAAAAUAUAACAUUCAAACUUUAAUUCAGAAAAAGAAAUUUUUAAAAAUAAAUUACACAACUACAUUUUACAGGAGCAUUAAAGUCCGUGUCGCGUCCCCGUCUCCCAAUGUAUACUACUCAGGGGGACGGAGGGAGUAUUAUUUUUUAAUAUUUUUAGAGAGCGUUGGACUUCCUCUUAGUCCUGUGUGAUAGUAUAAGCAAGUGCAACCGAGAGGAUACCGGGUAGACACCAAUUAGGGUUCUUCACUCCUUUCCUAAUUCAGUGUAACUAGAAAUCACCUACUACUACUAUCCAUACAUUUCUGUAUUGUCUGAGUCUUCAUCAGUCUCUCAAUGGAUGGUCCUAUGAAGCAGAAAUCAAAAAUCACAAGCGAAGAUGAAGAGCAAGAAGACAGAAUCAGCAGAUUGCCAGACGAUCUAAUCCAUCAAAUCCUCAAGUUUGUAGACACCAAAUUGGGUGUUCAAACCAGCGCUCUCUCGAAACGAUGGAAGCUUGUGUGGACUACUCUCCCAUUCCUCAAAUUCAGAUGGGAUCAAUUUCGAUACAACGGAAGCUCGUGUUCGUCGAAAAGCACAACAAAUCUUGCCCGUCAUGUUUUGAAGCACCGCAACCAUCAAGCCCAGAUAUCGUAUUUGGAGCUGGCGUUCCUGCCUUCAGGUUUGUUCGCGAAGUUUGUUGAUUAUGCUAUUGCUCACAAUGUGCAACACUUGAAUGUUCAUUUUCGAGAAAAGCAUAAGCCUUACAAGUUAUCUAACUUUAAUUGUGAUUGUAUUGAGAAACUCGAGAUGAGAAUGGAGCUUGAUGAUUCUCUGCGGGAAUCGGAUUGUUGGGAUUUACCAGCUUUAACAAGUCUACGCUUGAGAGGGUACUUGGUUUCGGGUCGGCUAGAUAAGUUACCGGAAAUGUGUUUGACCUGCUUGCCUGCGCUACGAUCCUUGAAUCUUGAAGAAUGGAAUUUGGAGUGUUUUUCUUUCAGUUUGCCUAAUUUAACAAAUUUUCGGCUAUGGGGCUGUCGUUUGCCCCAAACAAUUUGGGAUUUCCCAGCUUUAAAAAGUCUAGAGUUAUGUGAUGUGGAAUUUCCCGAGAAUAUGAGUGACAUAUUUGCUGCACUUGUCAGUCUACAGAAUCUCACAAUAUAUUUCUACGGGUUGUCUGCAAAAGAUUGUUUCAUAAAUUGUCCUCAUUUAAUCGACCUCGAGAUCGAAACCAGCUACGGUGAUCGUGGUAAGGCCAACAUUGUGGUUUCGGCACCAAAAAUCCGCAAUUUCACUUCUGUUGGUAUAUUUACAAUCACAUUCGGAGCUUCUAAGUUGGAUACUGUGAAUAUAAAGUUAAAGGAUUGGAUGGAUUCUGGGAGCUACGAGUGGUUGCACCGGAAGGAGUUCAAACGGGAUUAUCAACGGUUUAAAUUCAUGCUACCAGGACUUGCCACUGCCAAGAUUCUUAAACUUGACCUGGAAACCAUAGAGGUAACUCUUUAUUCAAUUUUCUUCUUAUGUUGUAGGAUUACCCCUGUGUUUUCUUCUCCAAUUAAAUAUAUAAAUCUUAUUUCUUUGUAUAAAUUUUUUCCUAGGUUUUUUAAAUCUCAUAGCAUGUCUUCUAGGUCUUUUACGUCAGUAGCCUAAUUUGUUAUUGAUUGGUAACACAUAUACGUGGUAGACAAUUGUUACAUGUUUCUUAAGGGUUUUUUUUCCCAGAUAGUGAUUUCCACACUUCUCAUUUGCUACUUGAUCCAUCUUGCUUCCUUUCAAAUUAUAUACUGUACUUGAAACAGGCAACUAAUGAACAACUUCUACAUUUUUUUAAUGUGGUACACAUUGAAUUGCAGGUCAACAUUUCUCUUUGUUUUGCUGAAGUUAUAUUUGUUUACUGUGUCUUGUUUCAUUAUUUGUAGGCACUUUCGUCGAUAUCCGACUUUCUUGGAAGUUCAUCUCCAUUCUUUAACUUGAAAUAUGUGAAACUUCCACAUGGAUGUAAAGAGUCAAGUAUAUCUACUUCUCUAAGAAAGUACUUACUCGGUGCCUCUCCAACAGCCACUAUAGUCACAACAUUUCCCCAGGUAUUUAAAUUAUCCUUCUCCACAACAUUUCUUGUCUUAUUUCUUUUAGGCAGUAACGGUGCCUGUAGCAUUUAGUCAGUCAUACUAGGUAUAAAUUCUCACGUUACUGUCUUCGGAUGGGGGAACAGGGCAUGAAUGAUCAAGCUACGUGUUGAACUAUUAUUCAGUCAAGAAUUGAACUGAUUUUCAGUCGAGAAUUCUUUUCUAAACUUGCAUUAUAUGUGAAGAUACAUUUCGUUUUUUUAUCUCAGUGAGUUAUUUUACUUGUGUUUUUGAUUCUCUUUCAGAACAACAUCAUUCCUUCUACAGCGACAAGUUCUCUGACAACCCAAUAUGUAGUACGAGAAGAGCCCUUGGCUGCUCGAACCAAGGUAUUGACUGAUGUUGAAAGAACAUAUAAAAAAAUGCGCAAUGAAACUAUGGACAUGGGGGUGCAGGAAAAGCAUGUUUUACAUGCUGACAAGGUUAGAAAUUCUGUUUACCUCAUUGAAGGUAUUGGCAAUGAUCGUGUAACUUCUUCAAGGGGGAAUAGUAAUCUUGGGUUAUGGAGAGGCCAUGAAGUUAAUUCUGAAUUUGUAUGUCUACUUAAUCGGAUCAUGAAUAAGUACCCCGAAACCUUUGAGUCCUUCGCCAUAAAAAACAAGAAGUUUUGUACAGUGAUGCUGAAUAUGUUGUGCACCUCAGUAAAUGACUUUAUCAAAUUCACUAUGACUGAAGUUGAUAGAGAGAUGAUUGCUGAGUACAGCGAUGUAUUUGCUGACCUGAAGAUAUUAGGAUUCAAUGUUAGUUGGCUUGUGGGUCGUCUGAAUUAUAUAGAACAUCUCCAAUUUUCACAUCCCCUACUGACAGAGCUGUAUGCACUGGAUGGU
rnacentral:lncRNA from 1 species